UCGAACGAGAAAGUGGAGCAAUCCAUGAGUAAAGUGGCGACCGGGUGAGUAACACGUGACUACCUACCCUUGAGUGGGGGAUAACCUCGGGAAACCGAGGCUAAUACCGCAUAAUAUCGAAAGAUCAAAGGAGCAAUCCGCUUUUGGAGGGGGUCGCGGCUGAUUAGCUAGUUGGUAGGGUAAUGGCCUACCAAGGCGAAGAUCGGUAUCCGGCCUGAGAGGGCGCACGGACACACUGGAACUGAAACACGGUCCAGACUCCUACGGGAGGCAGCAGUGGGGAAUUUUGCGCAAUGGGGGAAACCCUGACGCAGCAACGCCGCGUGGAGGAUGAAGUCCUUCGGGACGUAAACUCCUUUCGAUCGGGACGAUUAUGACGGUACCGGAAGAAGAAGCCCCGGCUAACUUCGUGCCAGCAGCCGCGGUAAUACGAGGGGGGCGAGCGUUGUUCGGAAUUAUUGGGCGUAAAGGGUGCGUAGGCGGUUUGGUAAGUCUUAUGUGAAAUCUAUGGGCUCAACUCAUAGACUGCAUGAGAAACUGCCGGGCUUGAGUAUGGGAGAGGUGAGUGGAAUUCCUGGUGUAGCGGUGAAAUGCGUAGAUAUCAGGAGGAACACCUGUGGCGAAAGCGGCUCACUGGACCAUAACUGACGCUGAUGCACGAAAGCUAGGGGAGCAAACAGGAUUAGAUACCCUGGUAGUCCUAGCCCUAAACGAUGACUGCUUGGUGUGACGGGUACCCA
rnacentral:rRNA from 1 species